rnacentral:rRNA from 1 species
GAGAGAGUCUGACGAGCACGCCGCGUGAGUGAAGAAGGUUUUCGGAUCGUAAAACUCUGUUGUUAGAGAAGAACAAGGACGUUAGUAACUGAACGUCCCCUGACGGUAUCUAACCAGAAAGCCACGGCUAACUACGUGCCAGCAGCCGCGGUAAUACGUAGGUGGCAAGCGUUGUCCGGAUUUAUUGGGCGUAAAGCGAGCGCAGGCGGUUUCUUAAGUCUGAUGUGAAAGCCCCCGGCUCAACCGGGGAGGGUCAUUGGAAACUGGGAGACUUGAGUGCAGAAGAGGAGAGUGGAAUUCCAUGUGUAGCGGUGAAAUGCGUAGAUAUAUGGAGGAACACCAGUGGCGAAGGCGGCUCUCUGGUCUGUAACUGACGCUGAGGCUCGAAAGCGUGGGGAGCAAACAGGAUUAGAUACCCUGGUAGUCCACGCCGUAAACGAUGAGUGCUAAGUGUUGGAGGGUUUCCGCCCUUCAGUGCUGCAGCAAACGCAUUAAGCACUCCGCCUGGGGAGUACGACCGCAAGGUUGAAACUCAAAGGAAUUGACGGGGGCCCGCACAAGCGGUGGAGCAUGUGGUUUAAUUCGAAGCAACGCGAAGAACCUUACCAGGUCUUGACAUCCUUUGACCACUCUAGAGAUAGAGCUUCCCUUCGGGGACAAAGUGACAGGUGGUGCAUGGUUGUCGUCAGCUCGUGUCGUGAGAUGUUGGGUUAAGUCCCGCAACGAGCGCAACCCUUAUUGUUAGUUGCCAUCAUUUAGUUGGGCACUCUAGCGAGACUGCCGGUGACAACGGAGAAGGUGGGGGAUGACGUCAAAUCAUCAUGCCCCCUUAUGACCUGGGCUACACACGUGCUACAAUGAGUACAACGAGUCGCUAGACCGCGAGGGUCAUGCAAAUCUCUAAGCUCUCUCAGUCGAUGCAGCUGCACUCCUGCUGAGCGAUCCUAUAAUCGCGAUCACCC